UGGGGAAUCUUGGACAAUGGGCGCAAGCCUGAUCCAGCCAUGCCGCGUGAGUGAUGAAGGCCCUAGGGUUGUAAAACUCUUUCGUGGGGGCCGAUAAUGACGGUACCCCAAGAAGAAGCCCCGGCUAACUUCGUGCCAGCAGCCGCGGUAAUACGAAGGGGGCUAGCGUUGUUCGGAUUUACUGGGCGUAAAGCGCGUGUAGGCGGGCUGGAAAGUUGGGGGUGAAAUCCCGAGGCUCAACCUCGGAACUGCCUCCAAAACUUCCAGCCUGGACUCAAGUAGAGGCAAGUGGAAUUGCGAGUGUAGAGGUGAAAUUCGUAGAUAUUCGCGGGAACACCAGUGGCGAAGGCGACUUGCUGGACUUGUAGUGACGCUGAGACGCGAAAGCGUGGGGAGCAAAC
rnacentral:rRNA from 1 species